rnacentral:rRNA from 1 species
UACGUAUGGGGCAAGCGUUGUCCGGAUUCAUUGGGCGUAAAGCGCGUGUAGGCGGCCAGGUAGGUCCGGUGUGAAAACUCGAGGCUCAACCUCGAGAGGUCAUCGGAAACCAUCUGGCUAGAGUCCGGAAGAGGAGAGUGGAAUUCCCGGUGUAGCGGUGAAAUGCGCAGAUAUCGGGAAGAACACCUAUGGCGAAGGCAGCUCUCUGGGACGGUACUGACGCUGAGACGCGAAAGCGUGGGGAGCGAACAGG